AUCGCUUCUCGGCCUUUUGGCUAAGAUCAAGUGUAGUAUCUGUUCUUAUCAGUUUAAAAAUCAAUAAAAACAUUUUUUUAAAAAGAAGCAAGUACAGAGAAUAAUUGAUCAGACCAUCAAACCUCAGAGGGAAGGCAGGGGAAGGGGGAGAGAUCAACCAAAGGACUUAUAUGCAUGCAUAUAAGCCUAACCAAU
rnacentral:snRNA from 1 species